rnacentral:lncRNA from 1 species
UAAACUUGCUUCUUUUGAUGCUUCUCCCAUUUGAUCUUUAGAAUCCUCUGGUAAUGAUCCGGCAACAGGCUUUACCUUCUUAUCUGUCGUUUUAUAUCUCGUCUCUACUGUGACUUCUGGUGCUUCAAAAGAUUCAAGCAUGGUAUAAACCUCUCUCGAAUGAAUCUCAACAAUCUUAUCAUUAUGCCCUAAUCCAAUAGAUGUAAUCAAUUCCAAUGAAUCUUCCUGUCCAUUUUCUUCAUAAACACCCAAAAUCCUCUCAUCAUCUUGCAAUGUACCUAUCUUGCAUAACUGUCCUUCAAUAUCAUAUAAUCUUUUUUUUUCUUUUCUUUUAAAAUCAUCAACUUUCUUAUACAUAAUAUUUCCAUUCUCCAAUAUACC